GAUGAACGCUGGCGGCGUGCCUAAUACAUGCAAGUCGAGCGAACAGAUAAGGAGCUUGCUCCUUUGACGUUAGCGGCGGACGGGUGAGUAACACGUGGGUAACCUACCUAUAAGACUGGGAUAACUUCGGGAAACCGGAGCUAAUACCGGAUAAUAUUUCGAACCGCAUGGUUCGAUAGUGAAAGAUGGUUUUGCUAUCACUUAUAGAUGGACCCGCGCCGUAUUAGCUAGUUGGUAAGGUAACGGCUUACCAAGGCGACGAUACGUAGCCGACCUGAGAGGGUGAUCGGUCACACUGGAACUGAGACACGGUCCAGACCCCUACGGGAGGCAGCAGUAGGGAAUCUUCCGCAAAGGGCGAAAGCCUGACGGAGCAACGCCGCGUGAGUGAUGAAGGUCUUCGGAUCGUAAAACUCUGUUAUUAGGGAAGAACAUACGUGUAAGUAACUGUGCACGUCUUGACGGUACCUAAUCAGAAAGCCACGGCUAACUACGUG
rnacentral:rRNA from 1 species